AAUACGACGGGUGCAAGCGUAAAUCGGAAUUACUAUUAGUCACGCGCCCGUAGGUGGUUUGAUCGUAUGGAAGUGAAAGCCCCGGGCUCAACCAGGGAACUGCUUUCAAANCUAGCAAGCUAGGUGUNUGNCAGAGGGUGGUGGAAUUUNAGUAAGGAUAGCGGUGAAAUGCGUAGAUAUAGGAAGGAACACCAGUGGCGAAGGCGACCACCUGGGCUAAUACUGACACUGAGGUGCGAAAGCGUGGGGAGCAAACANGAUUAGAUACCCUGGUAAUNGUCCACGCCGUGGGCGACGACUAGCCGUUGGGCUCCAUCACUAUAGCUUAGUGGCGCAGCUAACGCAACGACNGCCUGGGGAGUACGGCCGCAAGGUUAUAACUCAAAUGAAUUGACGGGGGCCCGCACUA
rnacentral:rRNA from 1 species